GACGAACGCUGGCGGCGUGCCUAAUACAUGCAAGUCGAACGAGUGGCGGACGGGUGAGUAAUGUCUGGGAAACUGCCUGAUGGAGGGGGAUAACUACUGGAAACGGUAGCUAAUACCGCAUACCAUCAGAUGUGCCCAGAUGGGAUGAGCUAGUAGGUGGGGUAACGGCUCACCUAGGCGACGAUCCCUAGCUGGUCUGAGAGGAUGACCAGCAACACUGGAACUGAGACGCGGUCCAGACUCCGACGGGAGGCAGCAGUGGGGAAUAUUGCACAAUGGGCGCAAGCCUGAUGCAGCCAUGCCGCGUGUAUGAAGAAGGCCUUCGGGUUGUAAAGUACUUUCAGCGGGGAGGCUUUACCCGCAGAAGAAGCACCGGCUAACUCCGUGCCAGCAGCCGCGGUAAUAC
rnacentral:rRNA from 1 species